rnacentral:rRNA from 1 species
UACGUAGGUGGCAAGCGUUGUCCGGAUUUACUGGGCGUAAAGAGCGCGCAGGCGGUCGAUUAAGUCGAAUGUGAAAGCCCCCGGCUCAACUGGGGAGGGUCACGCGAUACUGAUCGACUCGAAGGCAGGAGAGGGUAGUGGAAUUCCCGGUGUAGUGGUGAAAUGCGUAGAUAUCGGGAGGAACACCAGUGGCGAAGGCGACUACCUGGCCUGUUCUUGACGCUGAGGCGCGAAAGCGUGGGGAGCAAACAGG